UGAGCCACCAUGCCCGGCCAGUGCUACUCUUAAAAAGGUAGCAGAUUCUAGUCUCUUCUUACUACCUCUGUUGCUCCCAGCCCAGACCCAGCCACCAUUUUCUCUUGCCUGGAUUAUUGUCAUAGGUCUGUUUCUGCCCUUUGGCGUAUUCUCAACACAGUGAGCCUUUUAAAACAUCAAUCAGAACACAUCACUCCUCUGCUCAGAACCCUCCCUAGUCUUCCUACCUCAGAGUAAAACGCAAGUUUUUACAAAACCCUAAAUUAUCAGCCCUAAUACCCCCACCCUACACACACACACACACCCACACACACACACCCCUCCACCACUAUUGGUCUGACUUAUUUUGGGGGUUAGUCUAAUUCACUCUGCUUCCUUCAGUUCUCAAGCAAAGAAUUUUUGCUGUUCUCUCAGGACUAUUAUAAAAAAUCUUUUUUAAAAAAAUUAGUUGAAAGAUCUACUUGGCUUUUAUUAGCAAUUCAUGAAUCGGGCAGCAUCCCAUCUACAGAUUUAGAACAGGUACUCUGAUGCACUGAGGUGGGGGGCGGGGCUUGUAGGCAGAAGAGGGCUGAAGAAGCAGAAAUGGAGCACAAAGAGGGAUGCUCGUUUCAAAGUGACUUUCCUGAUAGUGUUAAAACAGAGGGGUUUUCCUUAUCAUGCCUGCUCAGGUAAGCUGGUGCCCUUCUGAUUAUUUUCCUAUUUUUUAGAAAAUGGGCCCAUUUUAGAGUUAAGUUUAAUUAUAUAGCAAGCUAGCACAAGUGGCUCCAUUCUGGCUUGGUCUGGUCUGUUGGACCUAGUGCAAGAGCUCAGCCCAAAGCAAUGGCCUCCUAUAAGCUUCAUUACACCUGCUGUCCCCCAACCUGGAAUACUCUCCAUGCACAUGAUCACACACCAACCCUUCAGUCUCUGCUCAAAUGUCACCAUCUCAGUGAGUGCCCUAUUGUAAAUGUCAACAUGCACACACAGACAGACAGACACACACACACACACACACACACACACACACACACAUCCUAUCCCUUCACCCUGCUUUUUCUCCUCGGCAUUUCUUGCAAUGUGAUCUUACUUAUCUUGUGUCUGUCUGCCUCCAUGAAGACCAGAAUUGUGCCUGUUUUGUUCCCUGCUGUACCCCCAGUUUCUAGAAGAGUGUUUAUUAAUGUGUGUUGAGUUAAAUAUGUUGAUUGGUUGUCACUGAGGAGGCAAAACAACAGGCUGGUUCUUUCCUGGGACACUGCUAGUUCCCUUACAAAUAGACCUGGGCGCGUCCGUUCACCAGGUCCCCAGACAUGCCCAGACCUGCCUGAGGCCUGGCGAGCUCAGCUCCACUCAAACCAGAAAGCGCUGCUGGGGGUAAGCAGCAGCUGACAUCAUGUGAAAGAUUACUGCGGGGAGGAAGAUGGGCCCUGCGAAGAGAAGAGCCAUGGGCUGCGGGAACGCUGGGAGGACAGCAUUCCCAAGACACCCAGAUGAAAGGGGCUGGCCUGGGAGACAACAGAGAAAGAGUUGUGCCAGGAAAACUAGGGGAGCAGAGGGGUGGAGUAUGGCUGAUGGUGUCUCCUGCCCCAGGGAAGUCUGUAAGUAGAGCCCCGGAAAGCCCAUCUAAGUAGAAGCCUUCGCCCAGUUUCCAGGAAAUUGUGAGAGGAGAAGCCAGAGAGGAAAGAGUGGGAGCCCGAAUGGUUGGAGAAGUGGAUAAAGGGAGCAAAGACAACUUUCUCAACAAACUUUGCUGCAAAACAAUCUAUAUAGGCCAAGAGAGCGGGAUACACAGAGGACUUUUGUAAUUUGAAAGAGAUCUUCAUAUUCUUUUCAGGGAGGAAGAAGCUGAUGAAGAAGAGGUUGAAGGCACAGGUGAUGGAAGGAUACUCAAAGGAGUAAUAAUCCAGAGAAGGCAGGAGGAUGAGAGGCUUACCACCUGUGGACGGUUCAGUCUUAGCUCAGCAGAGGGACCACCCUUCCUCAGAGAAGGGGACAGAGAGGAGAACACGAGCAGAGAAGUUCGCUGGUGACAGGGCAGGAAGUGGCGGCGGCCACACUGAGGACAUCUCUUCCAAAAAACAGGAAGCAGUCGUGGCUGGGAGGCAGGGAGGCUUGCAGAAAGCACUAGGGUCUGAAAGGGCUGUGAAGGGAAAUGGGAGAAGGAGCUGACAGAGUCCACGUGAGAGGCUUUGGGAGCAGCGUCUCCCAAAAUGAAGCAACAGCAACAAAAUAUGUAACUUCUCUUUGGGAUGCAGCUGCUGACUGAGGCUGUGUGAUCUGCGCAGCAGAGGAGGGGGCUCAGCCGGUGAGGGCAAGGGCUGGCUCAGCCAGAAGCAGGAGCAGGGAGUGUGUGCACAAGGAUGGGAGACCAUGAGGACGCCAGGCCGGCAGGCAGAGGGGCAGAAACAGCAGUGCAUUGAGGAUGGGCUUCUUUUACUUGGGUGCUCUGGAAGCCCUUCCUGCUCCCUUCUCUCUGUGGCCGACCUGGAGCUCUGACGUGGUGGCUGAGGUGUGGGCCGCAUCUUGGGCCAUAAGACGAGGCUUCCACCUUAAGAAUGGGAGAACCAUGAGCAGGAAAAAGCGUGGGUCCCCGAAGACUUCAUGAAGCCAAAUUACCUGCUCGGGACGUUCUGCCUCAGAGACUUCUUUAACUUAAAAAAUAAAAUCUCGAGUGUUUGA